rnacentral:rRNA from 1 species
AGCGCAGCCGCGGUAAUACGUAGGUGGCAAGCGUUGUCCGGAAUUAUUGGGCGUAAAGGGCUCGCAGGCGGUUUCUUAAGUCUGAUGUGAAAGCCCCCGGCUCAACCGGGGAGGGUCAUUGGAAACUGGGAAACUUGAGUGCAGAAGAGGAGAGUGGAAUUCCACGUGUAGCGGUGAAAUGCGUAGAGAUGUGGAGGAACACCAGUGGCGAAGGCGACUCUCUGGUCUGUAACUGACGCUGAGGAGCGAAAGCGUGGGGAGCGAACAGGAUUAGAUACCCGUGUAGUCCCUGUCUCUUAUACA